rnacentral:rRNA from 1 species
GACGAACGCUGGCGGCGUGCUUAACACAUGCAAGUCGAACGGAAAGGCCCUGCUUUUGUGGGGUGCUCGAGUGGCGAACUGGUGAGUAACACGUGAGUAACCUCCCCUUGACUUUGGGAUAACUUCCGGAAACUGGGGCUAAUACCGGAUAGGAGCUCCUGCUGCAUGGUGGGGGUUGGAAAGUUUCGGCGGUUGGGGAAGGACUCGCGGCUUAUCCGCUUGUUGGUGGGGUAGUGGCUUACCAAGGCUUCGACGGGUAGCCGGCCUGAGAGGGUGACCGGCCAAAUUGGGACUGAGGUACGGCCCAGACUCCUACGGGAGGCAGCAGGGGGGAAUAUUGCACAAUGGGCGGAAGCCUGAUGCAGCAACGCCGCGGGCGGGAUGACGGCCUUCGGGUUGUAGACCGCUUUCGCCUGUGACGAAGCGUGAGUGACGGUAAUGGGUAAAGAAGCACCGGCUAACUACGUG